CUGUUUGUGAUCAUGAUAGAGCGAUUAUGUGAGCAGUUAGAACCAUUUAUAAUAUUUUCUUUAGAGGUUUAACUUGACAGUCUAUAAUCUUUUGUAUUUAGAAUGAGAGGGAGAAACUUCAAAUAAAGAUAGAUGAGAUGGAUAAAAUACUUAAGAAGAUCGAUAACUGCCUCACUGAGAUGGAAACAGAAACUAAGAACUUGGAGGAUGAAGAGAAAAACAAUCCUGUGGAAGAAUGGGAUUCUGAAAUGAGA
rnacentral:sRNA from 1 species